rnacentral:rRNA from 1 species
AUUGGACGCUGGCGGUAUGCUUAACACAUGCAAGUCGAACGGCAGCAUGGUCUAGCUUGCUAGACUGAUGGCGAGUGGCGGACGGGUGAGUAACGCGUAGGAAUAUGCCUUGAAGAGUGGGACAACUUGGGGAAACUCAAGCUAAUACCGCAUGUACUCGAGAGAGUAAAGCUGGGGACAUUUAGGCCUGGCGCUUUAAGAUUAGCCUGCGUCCGAUUAGCUAGUUGGUAGGGUAAAGGCCUACCAAGGCGACGAUCGGUAGCUGGUCUGAGAGGAUGAUCAGCCACACUGGAACUGAGAGACGGUCCAGACUCCUACGGGAGGCAGCAGUGGGGAAUAUUGGACAAUGGGGGGAACCCUGAUCCAGCAAUGCCGCGUGUGUGAAGAAGGCCUGAGGGUUGUAAAGCACUUUCAGUGGGGAGGAGGUUUGGAAGGUUAAGAGCUAUUCAAAUGGACGUUACCCACAGAAGAAGCACCGGCUAACUCCGUGCCAGCCGCCGCGGUAA